UUAGGGUUUGCAGUGGGGAUUUCCAGUGACAAAGAAACACAAUUUGAUCUCAUAACCCUGGACACCACAGACUUAUUUUAAAUGAUAGAAACUUAAGAUUGGAAGGAAAUCUGAGUCAUCAUCCAGUCUUUGUUUUUCACUCAAAGAAAAACUUACUGCUCACCUUUAUUUGAACACCUUGGUAACAUGCUACCGGGGGCAGAGGAAGAAAAACUAGAAGGGUGAUUCAUUCAGAAGACAGUCCGAUUCCCAGAUAGCAGAGGCAGUGUGGUAUAGUGGGUAGCAGGAUGCUUCUGCAGUCAUAUGCCCUGAGUCUGGAUGCCAGUAACAACGCUGUCUGGAUGUACGACUCCAGAGUGAAGAUGCCUCAAAAUGCAUCUGGUGGCAGUGAGCAAGCUUUUGCUGGGCUUGUGCAGGCUGGGCAUAAGUCAAAAAGCAGGCCUGGGGAAAUGCCUAAGGAUCAUUCUGCACCUGGAGAGACUUCCUUCCUUCAUCACUGAUACCCAGGUUACAGAUAUUUUCCUUGUGUUUCAUAAGCUAUCAAAGCAUCUACCAUACUAUCUAGAUUCCUACCUAAAGAUUUUUAUGGGUGUGCU